rnacentral:rRNA from 1 species
UACGUAGGUGGCAAGCGUUAUCCGGAAUUAUUGGGUGUAAAGGGUGCGCAGGCGGAAGAUCAAGUCAGCGGUAAAAUUGAGAGGCUCAACCUCUUCGAGCCGUUGAAACUGGUUUUCUUGAGUGAGCGAGAAGUAUGCGGAAUGCGUGGUGUAGCGGUGAAAUGCAUAGAUAUCGCGCAGAACCCCGAUUGCGAAGGCAGCCUGCCGGCCCCACACUGACGCUGAGGCACGAAAGCGUGGGUAUCGAACAGG